UCUGCUCCAUGGAUAUCCAAUGGAUACCCGUAUGACAUGUGGGGCCAUAUGGCAGUGACACUGGACUAAGCACACGUCCAACCUCUCAGUCGCUCGCGGUCACAGAAGUCAAAGCCCGGCCCAUGUUCCCUAAUCCCCCGCAACCCCACAAACCUAGUAAUUAUUAAACCAAAUCUAAUCUGUGUGUCAACCCCCAAUCACCCCGAGUCCACCUUCCUCCCCAGCGCCCCAGCGCUCUCCCUCUGCGCAGCACAAAUCACAACCGCCGCCCCCGCCUCUCCCUGUCCGUCCACCCCAGCGCGACCGGCCUCGGCGACCGGCGUCUGUGAACAACAACAUCUUGAGUCCAGCACUCCUGCUCCCUCCCCAGCGCGACCGGCCUCGGCGAGACGGCGACCAGCAUCGGCAAGAAGGCGACAGGCCUCGGCGACCAACACAUCGGCGACCCACAGAUGGCAACAUACCCAAGGAGUAAAUCUUCAAUGGAAGGGGGCAAGGUCAACCAUGGGAAGGGCAGGGGCGGGAGUGUUAGUGUCCCACGGAGGAGUUUGCGUGGUCGGCAUCCAGCACCAGAGUUGCCGUGCACCGGUGAGCAACAGGGUUUCGACGACAACACCAUUAGCACCGAAAAGGGUAAUUGCUACACCAUUAGCACUGAAAAGGGUUUCGACCCGCAGACGGCAGAAAAUAACGAUGAGUCCCAUCAUAGCCCACUGGCGAUGCUGAGUGUAGACUCGCGACCCUAACGGUACCUUACUCUUCGUCUGAAUAUCUUGCAACAUGAGACGUUGCAGCCAUAUAGGUCAAUACUUUGAAUGUUGGCAAGUUACACAGGAGUAAUAAUAAAGCAGACCUACAUGUAUAUGCAUAGUACAACAAAAGGAAGGCUUGAGGGUUUAAUUUGCAGAAAGCUGAUUUUGUCCUCAUAA